rnacentral:lncRNA from 1 species
GGCCCUUGUCAUAAGCCUAAGGCCAUGGUCAGCAGAAGUUGGCAGAACCAAGAUAAGCAUACCAGAUACCUAAAGCCUAUUAUAAAGGCUAGGGCAAAACUUGCUAACUGGUAGCCCGUAGGUCACCUGUGCAUAUAGUUUUACAUUAUCCAUACCUUUGUUUGGCUAUCAUCAUAUGUAUACUAUGAUUCAUAUCAGUAGCAAAAUUACCAUUAUCACAUCUUACUUUUUUACGGGAGGUGGGGAGAAUGAAUAUUGUUUUCUCUGAUCAAAUUAAAUAUUCCUUAGGGUUUGAAGUCAAGUAAUGUGUUUGGACUAAAUAGUAAGGAAUCUACUUGAAUGAUUCUGAUUUUGUACCGUCAUUUAUAUGAACAUAUUAGUUUUUCAAGAAAUUGGAGUUUGUCAUCAACAUCUAACAAUUAAGAAACAUUGCCCAAAAAAGUUAGACAUUCCAACUAUUGUCAACAUAUUAGAUCUUCUAGCACAGUGGUUCUCAACCUUCCUAAUGAUGUUACCCUUUAAUACAGGUCCUCACAGUGUGGUGGCCCCAACCAUAAAAUUAUUUCUUUCUACUUCAUACUGGUAAUUUUGCUACUGUUAUGACUCAUAAUGCAAAUAUCUGAUAUGUGACCCUCAAAGGGGUUGUGACCCAUAGGUUGAAGCAAUAUCCUUUUGGCCAGCCAUAAGACAUUCAUUUAUUUGCAUCUCUAUCACUCCAUGGUGUCUUCUUGGUAUAGUGAUACAAAGGGCUUGGUACUCAUCAUUAAUGAAAUUGUCUAUUGACUCUCAGUGAUCACCUUCUGAUACUUAUAACUUUAUAACUAUGUAUCUCUUCCCACCUCUGAUGUUGGCUGGAUCUAGUUACUUGUUUCUAAUGAGCAGACUACAACAAAGCCAUGAAAUGUUUCCAAGCCAUAAUAAAAUUUGAUUAUAAAAUGCUACGACCCCCAUCUUCUUCCCCUUCUUUCCUGCCUCCUCCCCUCAUUGUUUGAUUACUCUGAUGAAGCAAGCUGCCAUGUGAGCACAUGUACCCUGUGGUGAGGCUCACAUGAUAACAAACAUGGGGCAGCCUGCAACAUCACCAAGUGAGGAACAGCAGCCUUCAACCCAACAGUCUGCAAGAAGCUGGAUCCUGCCAACACUUUGGAUAUGGUCUUAGAAGUGGAUAGUUCCCAUUAAGCCUUGAUGACUUGAUUGUAGCUUGACAAUGCAGAUGCUAUUGAAAUAAUAAAUGUAAUUUGAAGCC